rnacentral:rRNA from 1 species
GACGAACCGAGCGAACGUUGUUCGGAAUCACUGGGCUUAAAGGGCGCGUAGGCGGACCUGCAAGUCGGGGGUGAAAGCCCGAGGCUCAACCUCGGAACUGCCUUCGAUACUGCGGGUCUCGAGUCCGGGAGAGGUGAGUGGAAUUCCUAGUGUAGAGGUGAAAUUCGUAGAUAUUAGGAAGAACACCAGUGGCGAAGGCGGCUCACUGGCCCGGUACUGACGCUGAGGCGCGAAAGCGUGGGGAGCAAACAGG